AGCAGUCGCCGCGGUAAUACGUAGGUGGCAAGCGUUGUCCGGAAUUAUUGGGCGUAAAGCGCGCGCAGGUGGUUUAAUAAGUCUGAUGUGAAAGCCCACGGCUCAACCGUGGAGGGUCAUUGGAAACUGUUAAACUUGAGUGCAGGAGAGAAAAGUGGAAUUCCUAGUGUAGCGGUGAAAUGCGUAGAGAUUAGGAGGAACACCAGUGGCGAAGGCGGCUUUUGGCCUGUAACUGACACUGAGGCGCGGAAGCGUGGGGAGCAAACAGGAUUAGAUACCCCUGUAGUCCCUGUCUCUUAUACA
rnacentral:rRNA from 1 species